rnacentral:rRNA from 1 species
UCUGAAUCUGCGAACGGCUCCGCAAACCAGUUGUAAACUAUAGCAAGCUCUCCUAUGGUCGCCCCUUCACGGGGGGGGUCUGGGAAAUAGGGAUAACCCUGGUAAUUCUGAGGCUAAUACCACCACGUAAAACCUGGCUGACUGGGCAACUGGAAGGCUGGGGGGCGUGCAAUUUUUUCGCGAGGUUUACCGGGAAGGGACGCACGUCUGGACCGCGCAAAACGGAUGACUGGGCCUUCGGGACUGGGCUUCUAGCGGCUCUUGCUGUGUGCUUCUGACCUAUCAACUAGAUGGCAGCGUAAGGGACAUGCUAUGGU